GGGGUAGUAAAGGUUUCGACAGGGGUCUUGCAGCUGGAGAAGCUAUCCGUUGCGACACGUUAAUCGCAAAACUAAACUAAACGCUGAAGAUAAUACUCAGUAUGCACUUGCUGCCUAACCGGCAGUGAGUGACGCGCCUUAUGGCGCUCGUCCGCUCCGGGGCACUCACACCUCGGAAUCCGGGCGUCGACUAUGUGAGAAACGACACGCGUUAAGCUUUGCGCGCGCGGGCGUAAUAUGAAGCUACCUUAAACGGCAGAUUGUUCGUUUUCUGUCGUGGUAGGGAACAGGGCGGGCAAGGCCGCCCCCAAAAACGGACUGUGAUAGAAGAAGGACAGGGAAUGGGUCUUUGGACAGGGGUUCGACUCCCCUCUACUCCACU
rnacentral:tmRNA from 1 species